rnacentral:rRNA from 1 species
AGAGUUUGAUCCUGGCUCAGAACGAACGCUGGCGGCAGGCUUAACACAUGCAAGUCGAACGCCCCGCAAGGGGAGUGGCAGACGGGUGAGUAACGCGUGGGAACAUACCCUUUCCUGCGGAAUAGCUCCGGGAAACUGGAAUUAAUACCGCAUACGCCCUACGGGGGAAAGAUUUAUCGGGGAAGGAUUGGCCCGCGUUGGAUUAGCUAGUUGGUGGGGUAAAGGCCUACCAAGGCGACGAUCCAUAGCUGGUCUGAGAGGAUGAUCAGCCACAUUGGGACUGAGACACGGCCCAAACUCCUACGGGAGGCAGCAGUGGGGAAUAUUGGACAAUGGGCGCAAGCCUGAUCCAGCCAUGCCGCGUGAGUGAUGAAGGCCUUAGGGUUGUAAAGCUCUUUCACCGGAGAAGAUAAUGACGGUAUCCGGAGAAGAAGCCCCGGCUAACUUCGUGCCAGCAGCCGCGGUAAUACGAAGGGGGCUAGCGUUGUUCGGAAUUACUGGGCGUAAAGCGCACGUAGGCGGAUAUUUAAGUCAGGGGUGAAAUCCCAGAGCUCAACUCUGGAACUGCCUUUGAUACUGGGUAUCUUGAGUAUGGAAGAGGUAAGUGGAAUUCCGAGUGUAGAGGUGAAAUUCGUAGAUAUUCGGAGGAACACCAGUGGCGAAGGCGGCCAACUGGCGAGACUGACGCUGAGGCGCGAAAGCGUG